rnacentral:misc_RNA from 1 species
GCCUACCACAGGGUGCUGCAAUGCCACCACCUUAUAGACCUGGCCAAAUGCAAUAGUCUGUAGUCUAUUAGUAGUUUUAUUUAUCAGUUUCAUGUUCAACAAUCUGCAAAAUGGACUUGUGUGGAUAUGCCUUUUGAAGGAGUGCCCUUCUACAACCCAAUCUAUCUGUGAAGUUCGAAGUGGUUUAAAUGUUUCUCUUUUUCAGCAAUUUUGGAGUUGAGAUUCUGUUAGCAGAAGUUUGAGAGCCUUUUGCUGGCCCAGCUCUAUUCUGAACCUUGUCUGUGUUUGAUUGGUAUU